UACGUAGGGUGCAAGCGUUGUCCGGAAUUAUUGGGCGUAAAGAGCUCGUAGGCGGUCUGUCGCGUCGGCUGUGAAAUCCCGAGGCUCAACCUCGGGUCUGCAGUCGAUACGGGCAAACUAGAGUAUUGCAGGGGAGACUGGAAUUCCUGGUGUAGCGGUGAAAUGCGCAGAUAUCAGGAGGAACACCGGUGGCGAAGGCGAGUCUCUGGGCAAUAACUGACGCUGAGGAGCGAAAGCGUGGGGAGCGAACAGG
rnacentral:rRNA from 1 species